CAAAGCGAAAAUGCGCAAAUUACUGCUGUUCAAAGAAAGUAAAUAAAAGUAAAAUUUUUAUAUUGUUAUUAUUUUUAUUAAAUGUAAGUAUGGAAUCUUUAUCCGCGGCGAUAUUACUGGUUGAGGAGGAGAGCAGCGCAUCUCAGAAUGCUGGGGUGAGAAUUGAAAGGAGAAGAUUACAAGAUAUGUGCGAUCGCUUCCAGAUGAAUGACGGGCUAUUCAAAACAAACUUUCGUCUGCAUAAGGACGCAUUCAAGUAUGUCCUAGAUGCGUUUGCGGAAGAAAUGACGGCAAGUACUUUGUCCUCGUUAUCUCCGCUUAACAUUGUAGUAUCCGCUUUAAGAUUUUUUGCGAAAGGCAGUUACCAUCAUGGAGUUGGCGCAGACCACAAUGUUGGAAUGGCACAGUCAACCGUGUCAAAGUGGCUGUGAAAUUUUCUCAAAAUAAUGCAGCAAGAGCUAUGCCCACAGUGGAUAAAAUUUGAGCAAAAUGAAAUAGAAAAGCAGGAAGCAAAACAAGAUUUUUUUACGAAAGCUGGUUUCCCAGGUGUUAUCAUGUGCUUUGAUGAUAGAAAAGGAUUUUAUAGCAUCAAUGCUAUGUUGGUGUGCGAUCACAAAUUACGAAUAAGAAGCAUUGACCCAUUACAACCUUGGCUAAUGACUCCGUAUCGUUCCGUAAGUCAAGACAGCCGACAAAGUAAUUAUAACAUAAAGCACUCUAAAACUAGAAAUAUUAUAGAGCGAACGAUCGGUGUUUUAAAGAACCGCUUUCGAUGUUUGUUGGGAGCUCGAGAGCUGCAUUACUCGCCUCAAAAAGCGAGUCAAAUUAUAAAUGUUGCUUGUGCACUACACAAUAUUUGCAUUUUCUACAAAGUAGAAGAUUUGAACCCGAUAGAAUUUGAUAAUGAAAGCCCUCAAGACGAAGAGGAACAAA